UACGUAGGGUGCAAGCGUUGUCCGGAAUUAUUGGGCGUAAAGAGCUCGUAGGCGGUGUGUCGCGUCGGUCGUGAAAACUUGGGGCUUAACUCUGAGCUUGCGGUCGAUACGGGCAUCACUUGAGUUCGGCAGGGGAGACUGGAAUUCCUGGUGUAGCGGUGAAAUGCGCAGAUAUCAGGAAGAACACCCGUGGCUAAGGCGGUUCUCUAGUACGGUACUGACGCUGAGACGCGAAAGCGUGGGGAGCGAACAGG
rnacentral:rRNA from 1 species